CAAAUGUUUUACCUGUGAUACCAGGUAUAUGAUUUUAGGGUCAGACAAUACACAAAACUAUGGACGUUCACAUUUGGCUAUGCCAAUAUUUGAUAUUUGAUUUCACCUUUAGUUUUUUAUGUGAGUAUUGAUGAUUUAAGAUUGAUGUACAUACAUUUAGUAAAAUAGAAUAUUAUUUGGUGAGUUGAAAAGUAGGUUUGAGUAUAGUAUGCAUGUUUUUAUUAUUUAAAUUUUAAAACGUUUUAUAAGCAGAGUCCCAGCUGGUCAACAUUCGUUUGUGUAUCAUCCAUCAAAAUAUGUUGACCAUCCAUGGGCCAUAUUUUCGACGCCUUGAAUGUAUGGUUAUAAGUCUUUUUAACUAAAUAACCGAGAGCAAGACAUGUUAUUAAUAGGCAUCCGUUACACAUGCUUUAUGCGGCGUUGUUUGAAACCUAUAGUGCAAAAUUUAUCACAGUAAUUCCGUUUUGAUGAUACGAUAGUCAUUAUCAAUAUUGUAUUGUACCCUAUCAGUUCCAAUCGUUAUCACUUUGUGUAAACAUUAAACCGAACGUUAAGAGUUAAAAGUUCAAACUAUUAAUUUUCUUCCUGUAGGCGUUACUGUCACUAUGUGACAAUACUUCCCCUAUUAAAGGGUUUGUAAAUAAUGUAGUAUAUUUUACGAUGAUGAAGAUUCAUAAAAGCUAAAUUACUUUACAUACACGAUUUACAGAAAUUAAACCAUGAAUAACUCGAUCAUUUUUCUCUGAAUAGACUGUCUUCGUAUUAACUUUAAUGGCAGUAUUUUACUCGUUUUCAAACAAAAUUUAUAAAAACAACCAUACCAUACGAAUAGCCAAAAACAAACAAGUACAAGUAGUAGUCACUAAUUGUUUCGUAAAUCGUGUAUGUAAAGUAAUUUAACUUUUAUGAAUCUUCAUCAUCGUAAAAUAUACUACAUAAUUUAUAAACCCGGUAAUAAUUGUAUGUAUAGUUGUACGGAAACAUGAUAUUACACAAGUACUUGAUUAACAUCUAUCUACCCUGGUUACAUGUGAAAUAAAUGUUUUUGAUAAUUUUUAAAUAUGUGUUUUAAAAGAAACUGUACACCUUUUUAGAAAAAAAAUAAAUUUUUUUUUGUUUUUUUUUUUGUGUUAUGAAAAUUUCUAUCAAAACAUAAUAGUUUACAAAAUACACGCUAACAUUGGCAAACUAUUAUCAGUAUUUAUUUCACGUAAUCACCUACACUGAAACAUUAUUGACAAAAGUGAAUGUCUGUUUUAUAGCAUCUCUUUGGUGAUGUGGAACGUGUUCUUAAGGUUGUAGCCUGUUAUCUCUUUUGUGUAUGACAAGAUAUUUCACUGCAUGAAAUGUGAUUCGAAAAACAAGGUGAUCGUAUUUUCUGAACCAGCAUCAUCAGUCGAUAUUGCAACUUUUUAAUUUCCUAUUCGUUAUGUCAAGGUUUCAUUUCAGAGUUUAAGACGAUUUUUAUUUUGUCCAUGUCAAUGGCAUAUGGGAGUUAUUCAAUAUCAUACAUGACACUCACAAUGUUUCUCUAAAAAUAAAUCUGUUCAGUUCUAUUACAUUGUGAAGCUCACAACAGGUUUUAUAUAGAUAGAAGAAGAUAAGGUAUGAGUGCCAAUGAGACAACUCUCAAUCAAGUCACAAUUUGUAAAAGAAAAAAAGCAUUAUAACAUGUUUAACACGGCUACCGAAAAUAGUAUUGAUUGUUUGCAGAUAUACAAUUAUGUAACAUAGUUGUCAUCAUUUUUAAAAGAAAAUAGUGUCACCAACAAAUUAUCAAGUCAAACUAUAAAGUCUCUGUUUUUACAUGUUAAAAAUCUUGUUACAUUUCAGGUGCACAGAGAAAACUUUUGAUUGCAACACAAAAUGCCUCUAUUAAGGAAAUUGAUCUUCAAACACGCACAGUGACUGUAUUGUAUGAACUUGGAGAUACAGCGUAUUCAAUUGAUUACGAUAGUAAAAAUAGACAAGUUUACUUUCCAAGAUAUUUUAACAACGACAUAAUGAG
rnacentral:lncRNA from 1 species